rnacentral:tRNA from 1 species
ACUGGGAUAGCUCAAUUGGUAGAGUAUGAGACUCUUAAACUCAAGGCUGUGGGUUCGAGCCCCACAAAAAGAUUCCUGCA